GAUGAACGCUGGCGGCGUGCCUAAUACAUGCAAGUCGAGCGAACAGACGAGGAGCUUGCUCCUCUGACGUUAGCGGCGGACGGGUGAGUAACACGUGGAUAACCUACCUAUAAGACUGGGAUAACUUCGGGAAACCGGAGCUAAUACCGGAUAAUAUAUUGAACCGCAUGGUUCAAUCGUGAAAGACGGUUUUGCUGUCACUUAUAGAUGGAUCCGCGCCGCAUUAGCUAGUUGGUAAGGUAACGGCUUACCAAGGCGACGAUGCGUAGCCGACCUGAGAGGGUGAUCGGCCACACUGGAACUGAGACACGGCCCAGACUCCGGCGGGAGGCAGCAGUAGGGAAUCUUCCGCAAUGGGCGAAAGCCUGACGGAGCAACGCCGCGUGAGUGAUGAAGGUCUUCGGAUCGUAAAACUCUGUUAGUAGGGAAGAACAAAUGUGUAAGUAACUAUGCACGUCUUGACGGUACCUAAUCAGAAAGCCACGGCUAACUACGUG
rnacentral:rRNA from 1 species